CCUACGGGAGGCAGCAGUGAGGAAUAUUGGUCAAUGGACGCAAGUCUGAACCAGCCAUGCCGCGUGCAGGAAGACGGCUCUAUGAGUUGUAAACUGCUUUUGUACGAGUGUAAACGCCGAUACGCGUGUCUGUCUGCAAGUCUCCUACGAAUACGGUCCGGCUAACUCCGUGCCGGCAGCCGUGGUAAUACGGAGGGGUCAAGCGUUAUCCGGAUUUAGUGGGCUUAAAGGGUGCGUAGGCGGUCUGAUAAGUUAGAGGUGAAAUCCGGGGGCUCAACUUCGGGAUUGGCGUUGAGACUGGUAGGCUAGAGAGUAGGUGCGGUAGGCGGAAUGUAUGGUGUAGCGGUGAAAUGCUUAGAGAUCAUGCAGAACACCGAUGGCGAAGGCAGCUUACCAAGCUGCGUCUGACGUUGAGGCACGAAAGCGUGGGGAGCAAACAGGAUUAGAUACCCCUGUAGUC
rnacentral:rRNA from 1 species